GCGGCGUGCUUAACACAUGCAAGUCGAACGGUGAACACGGAGCUUGCUCUGUGGGAUCAGUGGCGAACGGGUGAGUAACACGUGAGCAACCUGCCCCUGACUCUGGGAUAAGCGCUGGAAACGGCGUCUAAUACUGGAUAUGUGACGUGACCGCAUGGUCUGCGUCUGGAAAGAUUUUUCGGUUGGGGAUGGGCUCGCGGCCUAUCAGCUUGUUGGUGAGGUAAUGGCUCACCAAGGCGUCGACGGGUAGCCGGCCUGAGAGGGUGACCGGCCACACUGGGACUGAGACACGGCCCAGACUCCUACGGGAGGCAGCAGUGGGGAAUAUUGCACAAUGGGCGCAAGCCUGAUGCAGCAACGCCGCGUGAGGGAUGACGGCCUUCGGGUUGUAAACCUCUUUUAGCAGGGAAGAAGCGAAAGUGACGGUACCUGCAGAAAAAGCGCCGGCUAACUACGUGCCAGCAGCCGCGGUAAUACGUAGGGCGCAAGCGUUAUCCGGAAUUAUUGGGCGUAAAGAGCUCGUAGGCGGUUUGUCGCGUCUGCUGUGAAAUCCGGAGGCUCAACCUCCGGCCUGCAGUGGGUACGGGCAGACUAGAGUGCGGUAGGGGAGAUUGGAAUUCCUGGUGUAGCGGUGGAAUGCGCAGAUAUCAGGAGGAACACCGAUGGCGAAGGCAGAUCUCUGGGCCGUAACUGACGCUGAGGAGCG
rnacentral:rRNA from 1 species